AGGCAGGGAGGGUGCUCCUUGCUGAAGGCUCUGCUGAGCACAGGCCUAAAGUGAGCGGAGGCCAGCUGGCCCCGGCUCUGUCAAUCAAGGAGGAUGUAGGCAGCCAGAGUGCAGGAUAAGGUUGCAGUGAAGGCUAGAUCCAGGGUAAGCACGGGCCAGUUUUCCAUGGUGGGUGGGGCAUGGAGGAUGAGGAGACGGAGGUGGCUUGUGGGUGCUUCUGUACCAUCACCCUUACACUACCUACAACAAGCCAGGCCUUAGCUCACCCGCUAACCACCCCGCUACAGGCUACAUCUUCCAUGGGGUUCAAGAAGUCAUGUUAAUUGGCUUGGGUCGCAGGGAGCAAGAUGGGUGCCCAUUGAGGCUCUCCCCUCCUACCUCUGAGGACUCACCUUUCUCUUCUCGGAAGUUUGUCUGGGCUGCCUGCCCCAACACCACUGUAGGCCGGGAUCCCUGAAGAUGUGGCUCUUUUAGCUGCUCAGGCUUGGCCCUUCACAUACAUAGUGGGUCCUUAGUGUAUUCUGUGUCCUCAGAAUGGCGGCCACGUAGGAAACGAGAACCCAGGCCCUCAGAGUUGGAGUUGUGAAUCGUGUGUUUCAAGGUCACAGUUCUGAAUUGUCACCAGCCAGGGAAGCCGUGCCUUGAGAUCACCUCGUUCUUGCAUCAUCCCCAGCCUGUUUGUUCUGGUUCUAAGUCAGCCAUAGAACAGAUGACAGGAGAAAUUGCUACUCAGGCAGCAGGGCAGGUGGGUGGGUCAGAUGCUGUGUGGUCAGAGAAUCUGGGGGUGAGAGCCUGGUUGGGGACCAUUGGUCUAGCCAGGGGGACGGCCUGAUGGGUGGUUCUGGUGGUGGGACAGGCUGAACGGGGGAACUGGCCUGGAGGGGGUGGGAGAUGAGCCUGGCUGGGCCCUGGGCCUGGCCCUAGAGCCAGUUACAUUCAGGGCACACACUGUGACCUUGUCACACAUAAUGGCUGCCAAGACCAAGGGAAGGGACCAUCCAGUCACAGCUGGAGGUAGCGGGGCAUCUGGCUUGCUCUGCUCAUCAGACUGUUUGCCAUGAGCUGAGUCCCGUGUCCCCUGUUAACCCCAGGCUGAGUGAAGGGAGGGUAGGAGCAGCAGCCCCUGCAGCAGCUCUCCAGGGCCCCGCUGCCUUAGAUCCAACACCGAGCAGAUGGGCAGGGAGAGCGGGAGAGGCUGCAACAGUUGGUGGCUGCCAGCUCCCAGCGCAGCGGGAGUGAGAAGCCAGCCGGGAUGGAGGGAGUGGCAGAAGCCCAGGCUCCUGUCAGCACCUCCCAAGGGCCUCUCAGCCCUUCCAGAGACCUGAGAGCCAAAGGCCUGAAGGUCUAGCACAGUGUACACUGGUGGGCGGAGCCCCACUGACCCGAGGACAAUCCUCCUAGCCUUGGUCUCCUCUGGGGCUGGCAUGAUACCAACAUUGCUUUUCCAUCUUGUGUGACCUCAGGCUAGUCUCUGAGCUUAUCUGUUCCCCUCCCCCCACCCAAAAGUU
rnacentral:lncRNA from 1 species